rnacentral:rRNA from 1 species
CAGCUUGACGGUAGCCGCUGAGAGGGUGACGCACACUGGACUGAGACACGCCCAGACUCUACGGAGCAGCAGUGGGGAUCUGCACAAUGGGCGGAAGCCUGAUGCAGCGACGCCGCGUGAGGGAUGACGGCCUUCGGGUUGUAAACCUCUUCAGUUGGGACGAAGCCCUUUCGGGGUGACGGUACCUUCAGAAGAAGCACCGGCUAACUACGUGCCAGCAGCCGCGGUAAUACGUAGGGUGCGAGCGUUAUCCGGAAUUAUUGGGCGUAAAGAGCUCGUAGGCGGUUUGUCACGUCUGCUGUGAAAGCUCGGGGCUUAACCUCGAGUUUGCAGUGGGUACGGGCAGGCUAGAGUGCAGUAGGGGAGACUGGAAUUCCUGGUGUAGCGGUGAAAUGCGCAGAUAUCAGGAGGAACACCGAUGGCGAAGGCAGGUCUCUGGGCUGUUACUGACGCUGAGGAGCGAAAGCAUGGGGAGCGAACAGGAUUAGAUACCCUGGUAGUCCAUGCCGUAAACGUUGGGCACUAGGUGUGGGGAACAUUUCCACGUUUUCCGCGCCGUAGCUAACGCAUUAAGUGCCCCGCCUGGGGAGUACGGCCGCAAGGCUAAAACUCAAAGGAAUUGACGGGGGCCCGCACAAGCGGCGGAGCAUGCGGAUUAAUUCGAUGCAACGCGAAGAACCUUACCAAGGCUUGACAUGCACUAGAUCGCCCUAGAGAUAGGGUUUCCCUUCGGGGCUGGUGUACAGGUGGUGCAUGGUUGUCGUCAGCUCGUGUCGUGAGAUGUUGGGUUAAGUCCCGCAACGAGCGGAACCCCUAUUCUAUGUUGCCAGCAAUUCGGUUGGGGACUCAUGGAAGACUGCCGGGGUCAACUCGGAGGAAGGUGGGGACGACGUCAAAUCAUCAUGCCCCUUAUGUCUUGGGCUUCACGCAUGCUACAAUGGCCGGCACAAUGGGUUGCGAGACUGUGAGGUUGAGCUAAUCCCAUAAAACCGGUCUCAGUUCGGAUUGGGGUCUGCAACUCGACCCCAUGAAGUCGGAGUCGCUAGUAAUCGCAGAUCAGCACGUGCG